rnacentral:rRNA from 1 species
ACCUGGUUGAUCCUGCCAGUAGUCAUAUCGCUUGUCUUUAACAUUAAGCCAUGCAUGUCUCACAAUAAGCUUCCACACGGCGAAUCUGCGAAUGGCUCAUUAAAACAGUUAUCGCUUCUUUGAUGGUCAAGUUCCUAUACGGACAACUGUGGUAAUUCUAGAGCUAAUACGUGCCUAAAGCCGCGACUUAUUGGAAGCGGCGUAUUUAUUAGAUACAGAACCAAUGGCUUCGGGCUCAUUGGAUGAUUCAUAAUAAACGAACGAAGCACACCAAUUUCGGCGCUAGAUCAUUCAAGUUUCUGACCUAUCAGCUUUCGACGGGAGGGUAUUGGCCUACCGUGGCAUUGACGGGUAACGCAGAAUUAGGGUUCGAUUCCGGAGAGGGAGCCCGAGAAACGGCUAUAGAUCUAAGGAAGGCAGCCCCCCCGCAAAUUACCCAAUCCUGACACAGGGAGGUAGUGACAAGAAAUAACAAAGCAAGGAACAAUGUUAUUUUGCUAUUGGAAUGAGUAGAAUUUAAAUCUCUUUUCGACUAUCAAUUGGAGGGCAAGUCUGGCGCACCAGGCCCGGUAAUUCCAGCUCCACAGCGGAUACUUCAAGGUUGUUGCGGUAAAAAGCUCGUAGUUGGAUUUCUGCAGAGGGAGGUCGGUCCGCUCUACGAGCGUGUAUCUGGCUCUGCCUUUGCCUCCUCACAUGGAACGUUGCUGCGCUUCACUGCGUGGUGCGGAACGUGUGACUUUUACUUCGAGGAAAUUAGAGUGUUCACAGCAGGCAAUCGCUUUGAAUAUGUUAGCAUGGAAUAAUGAUAUAGGACCUUGGCCCUAUUUUGUUGGUUUCUAGAGCUAAGGUAAUGAUUAACAGGGACAAUUGGGGGUAUCCGUAUCAAGACGUCAGAGGUGGAAUUCUUGGAUUGUCUUGCGACGAACUACUGCGAAAGCAUUUACCAAGGAUGUUUUCAUUGAUCAAUUAUCGUAAGUAAGGGGAUCGAAGAUGAUUAGAUACCGUCGUAGUCUUUACCAUAAACUAUGGCAAUUAGGGAUGGGCAGUCGUUCUUUUUAUGACUCUGCCCGCACCUUAUGAGAUAUCAAAAUUNNUCUGGCUCCCGGGGGGAGUAUGAUCGCAAGAUUGAGACUUAAAGGAAUUGACGGAAGGGCACCACCAGGAGUGGAGCUUGCGGCUUAAUUUGACUCAACACGGGAAAACUCACCAGGUCCAGACAUAGUGAGGAUUGACAGAUUGACAGCUCUUUCUUGAUUCUUUGGGUGGUGGUGCAUGGCCGUUCUUAGUUGGUGGAGUGAUUUGUCUGCUUAAUUGCGUUAACGAACGAGACCUCAACCUGCUAAAUAGACCGUUCUAUCUUCGGAUGAAUGGCUGUCUUCUUAGAGGGACUGCGUCCCCUUUAGGACGUGGAAAGUUUGAGUCUAAAACCAGGUCUGUAAUGCCCUUAGAUGUUCUGGGCUGCACGCGCGCUACACUGAUGCGUUCACCGAGUUUAUAACCUUUGACAGAUAUGUCCGGGUUAAUCUUUUGAACACCGCAUCGUGUUGGGGGAUAGAUUAUUGCAAUUAUUUCAUCCUUCCACGAGGGAAUUCCCUAAGUAAGCUUAAGCUCCUCAGCUUAAGGUUGAUUACCUGUCCCUGCCUCCUUUGGUACACUACCCGGCCCGGUCGCUGUCCUACCGGAAUUGGACCAUUUCGGUGAAUAUUUUCGGGAGUGGCUAUUAUACACGGUUCGCCGCGUUUAUGCCUGGAAACUUGAGUAAACGGCAAUCCUUAAAGGAAGAAGAAGUCGUAACAAGGUUUCCGUAAGCCACAUACAAAGGAU